rnacentral:rRNA from 1 species
CCUACGUGUGGCUGCAGUGGGGGAUAUUGCACAAUGGGGGGAACCCUGAUGCAGCGACGCCGCGUGGGUGAAGAAGCGCCUCGGCGCGUAAAGCACUUUCAGCAGGGACGAAAAUGACUGUACCUGAAGAAUAAGCCCCGGCUAACUACGUGCCAGCAGCCGCGGGAUUACGUAGGGGGCAAGCGUUAACCGGUUUUACUGGGUGGAAAGGGGACGCAGACGGGGAGGCAAGCCAGGCGUGAAAGCCGGGGGCUCAACCCGGGGACUGCUUUUGGAACUUGGUGGGUGGAGUGCAGGAGGGGCAGGCAGAAUUCCUGGUGUAGCGGUGAAAUGCGUAGAUAUGAGGAGGAACACCGGUGGCGAAGGCGGCCGGUUGGAAUGCAACUGACGUUGAGGCGCGAAAGCGUGGGGAGCAAACAGGAUUAGAUACCCUAGUAGUC